CACGAAGUUAGCCGGGCUUAUUCUGCGGGUACCGUCAUCAUCGUCCCCGCCAAAGAAGCUUUACUAACCCGAACGGCCUUCAUCACUCACGCGGCAUGGCUGGAUCAGGGUUGCCCCCACUUGUCCAAUAUUCCCCACCUGCUGCCUCCCGUAGGAGUCUGGGCCGUGUCUCAGUCCCAGUGUGGCUGAUCGUCCUCUCAGACCAGCUAACGAUCGUCGCCUUGGUGAGCCAUUACCUCACCAACUAGCUAAUCGUACGCGGACUCAUCUUUUGGCGAUAAAUCUUUAUCCCGAAGGAACCAUCCGGUAUUAGCCCCAGUUUCCGGGGUUAUUCCGAACCAAAGGCAGAUAUCCACGCGUUACUCACCCGUGCGCCACUCGUGUAUUGCUACACGCGUUCGACUUGCAUGUGUUAAGCCUGCCGCCAGCGUUCGUUCUGAGCCAGGAUCAAACUCU
rnacentral:rRNA from 1 species